CAGCGGCCCUAGUGGUGAUCGUUAUUAUUGGGCCUAAAGCGUCCGUAGCCGGUUCGGUAAAUCUCUGGGUAAAUCGUUGGGCUUAACUCAACGAAUUCUGGGGAGACUGCCGAACUUGGGACCGGGAGAGGUCGGAGGUACUCCAGGGGUAGGGGUGAAAUCCUGUAAUCCUUGGGGGACCACCGGUGGCGAAAGCGUCCGACCAGAACGGGUCCGACGGUAAGGGACGAAGCCCUGGGGCGCGAACCGGAUUAGAUACCCGUGUAGUCC
rnacentral:rRNA from 1 species